rnacentral:rRNA from 1 species
AUUGAACGCUGGCGGAAUGCUUUACACAUGCAAGUCGAGCGGCAGCGCGGCCUUCGGGCUGGCGGCGAGCGGCGAACGGGUGAGUAAUGCAUCGGAACAUGCCCAGUCGUGGGGGAUAACACUUCGAAAGAAGUGCUAAUACCGCAUACGUCCUGAGGGGGAAAGCGGGGGAUCGCAAGACCUCGCGCGAUUGGAGUGGCCGAUGUCAGAUUAGCUAGUUGGUGGGGUAAAGGCCUACCAAGGCGACGAUCUGUAGCUGGUCUGAGAGGAUGAUCAGCCACACUGGGACUGGGACCCGGCCCAGACUCCUACGGGAGGCAGCAGUGGGGAAUUUUGGACAAUGGGGGCAACCCUGAUCCAGCCAUUCCGCGUGAGUGAAGAAGGCCUUCGGGUUGUAAAGCUCUUUCGGCAGGAACGAAACGGUGGGCUCUAACAUAGUCCGCUAAUGACGGUACCUGAAGAAGAAGCACCGGCUAACUACGUG